rnacentral:lncRNA from 1 species
GGGACUCGUAGGCGCCGCCGUUGAAGUGGUUGUACUGGUCGGCGAACAGCAGCGCGUCGAACAGCGCGUCGGUGUCGUCGCCGGAGCCGGAGUCGGUGGUGUCCUCCGGCUCGGUCCUCGGACGCUUCUUGGCGAGGUCGUCGUCGCUGUCGAGCGACAGCGCCGCCGCGGCGACGGCGAACUCGUCGGAGGCCGACAUGCCCUGCCAGGAGAAGUCCGGGAGGGCGUUCGACUCGGAGCUCUCGCUGGUCUCGGGCUCGUACUUGAUGGACGCCAUGGCGGCGGCGACCUCCUCCUCGUCCUCCUCCUCGACGAGGUUGAUGACCGGGGUCGCCUUGACGGCCGGGGCGGCGGCGGCGGUGGCGCGGCCGCGCUUGCGGGUGUCAGGGGUGGUAGCGGAAGGGAAGUUGAGCUUGGCCCUGUCCCCGCGGAUGGCGCGCGCGGCGUCGUCGUAGGCGAGCGCGGCGGCCUCGGCGUUGGUGAAGGUGCCGAGCCAGACGCGGAUGCCCUUGACGGGGUCGCGGAUCUCCGCCGCCCACUUCCCCCACGGCCGGCGCCGCACGCCCCUGUACUGCGCCGGCUUCCUGCGCCUGCUCGACGCCGCCGCCGCCGCCUUCUUGGCGCGGAAGACGAACGGCUUGUGCUCGGAGGUCGCCUCCUCCUCCUCCGCCUCCUCCACCAUCAUCUCCUCGUCAUCGGAGUCGUUGUCGAAGUCGCGGAACGCGGCCUCGAAG